CUAAAUCCCCUAAAUCUGCCAUUUGAGUCUCCUUUUCCAGAGAAGACAAAGCUCCAAAUCUGGAGCCUUCCAAAUUUUCCCCCUAAUUUUCGCUUUAGACCCCCGAUUUCCAUCCGAUUUGCGUCAAGACUUGCGUUCAACCACCAUCCAAGGACCAAAAGCUUCAUCCAUGGCCACCGACCCUCCUCCCAUCUACAUUGGAGUUAUGUUGUUAGUCAUCGAUUUUAUAGAAGUUUCCCCGCCGUCAUCGCUGCUCCGAUCUGUCAUAGAGGAAAGACAUGAAGUUUUAAAGUGGCCAUAUUUUCUGCAGGAAAAACAUACCACGGGUGAAGGUUCAAACUCCACUCGUUGUAAACGCCCAUUGACCCAAACCUGUGAGGUUAGAGACUUCUCAAGAUCCACUACCAUACGGGCGAACUAACCCCUCUCACCACUGAACCCCGGCAGACCUGGAAAGCGAAUCCAGGCUAAGAUCCCGUUUGGAAAAGGUCUCGAUGGGUCGAAGUCCACAAUCCAUGGCUGAACAGUGAGGUAGUGUCCAAAUACUGUCCAGGGGCCACGAGUCAACGCCAUUUCAUAAUCCCCCAUGCUUUGAAACCUAACUAGAUAAUACCCAUUAGCCACAUCCAUUAAACGGAAGGGUUGUGAAGGUUUCCAGAGAUUGAGAAUACAUUUGUGAAGAGCCCCAUAGCCUAUAUUACGCCCUAAUAGCUUAACCACCAUCGUAGACUCCAUAUCCCUAACCAUAAUCUUUUUAAUCCGAUCCCAAAAAUCUAUGCCAGGAAUUCCAUUGGUGACUGAUCUGAGGAUCAAUAUUAGUAGCAGCACCUAGAGAACCAGAACCCGACUCACCCAAAAGUUUAUCCUUCCAGGUGAUUACGCUCACCGGAGUCGAGUCAACCGCCAUAUUCUCCAUUGGACCUUCACCUCCUUCCUUAAAUCGAACAUUUUUGGUGAUACGAUCUUCGAUAAUGCCUUCACUAUCUUCAGUCUGAACAUCAGACAAGGAUUCAAUGUUGUUCAUGUUCACUAGAGAGGAAGUGCCUUCGAUGUUUUUAAACGUACGUACACACACACACAAAAAAAAAAGUCAAAUUGCAUUUUUUUUAAAUGGUCUAAUAGCAUACUUUGAGUUACUGUAGUUUCUUUCCUAUUCCAUGCUUACGGUUUUAACUUUAUUCAAUUCGUUCCAUGUAAAACACCAACUUAAAUAUUAUAUUAAAAGAAAACACUUUAUUUUAAA